UUAAUAAAAAAAUUGCUACAAUUUAUUUAUUUUAAAUUACUUGGAAUUGUUGUAGCUACUAAAUAUUUUCGUUGGUUCGGAAAGGAUAAGAUUCAGUGACUCCCCGAAGUUGGCCUCCAAACGUACAAAAAUUAAUUUGUGGCAUUGUAGAUGUUUUGCAAAUUCUCAAAGAUAGCGGGGAGGCUACAUCAUAAUUAUAUAAAGUGGGAGAAGGCUGCAGUUUCCUGUCGAAAAGUGUUCGCAAUAAAAUGUUAAUAUUUUAUUAUUCGAAUUAUUUCUAAUAAAUAGGUUCUAAUCUAAUCAAAAAUUAGGCUCAAAUAAUAAACGAUAGUACUGUCUAAGUUCCUAAAACAAGUAAUUAAAAGGUAGGUGCCAUACAGUUUUGUGUAGGUACCUAUAGAUUGUAAACUCAGUAAAAAAUGUAGAAACAUAUAAUGAUACUUUUCUUGAUUUACAUGUGGAAGGUGGGACUAAUCAAUAUAACUUAUACAUUUCAUAGAAAAGAUGGUGGUGGAGUGUUAAAAUAUUGUAUUACGUUUAAAUUUUUAACUAAAAAAAACGUUAAAUAGAAAAUAAGUUAAGUGAUUCUAAGAUUUAAUAAAAUAGUUUUUUUACUCUACUAAUAUACCUGCCUAGGCACUCAACUGAAUUAUUCUAAGAACAACAUUUUUUAUUAUUUUUAUGUACAAAUAUCUACCAUUUAUUUAUACCUAUACAUUUACUUUAUUAAUGCUUAUUUUUCUAACCAUUUAAGUAUUAUAGCGUAUAGGUACCUACCUAAUACUAAAGAUUAUAAUUAAUAACAUUUAUAAUUUAUUUCACUAAUAAUCAUCAUUA